rnacentral:misc_RNA from 1 species
AACUUUUAACAAUGGAUCACUUGGCUCUCGCAUCGAUGAAGAACGCAGCGAAAUGCGAUAAGUAAUGUGAAUUGCAGAAUUCAGUGAAUCAUCGAACCUUUGAACGCACCUUGCGCCCCUUGGUAUUCCGCGGGGCAUGCCUGUUUGAGUGUCUUGAGAUCAUCAAACCUAACCGGUCUUGUUGCCGGCGCGGUUUGGACUUGGGGGUUCUUUGCUGCCGCUCGCGGUGGCUCCCCUGAAAUGUAGCGGGCGGUCUUUCGAGCGGCUCUGUCCCUUGGCGUUGUAUUACUCUCGUCGCUGGUUGGCUCGCGAUGCUGCGCCACUCCCUGUCCUGCCUCUAGAGAGGCGGUCUCUAACAUUUUGUAAUCUGACCUCAAAUCAGGUAGAACUACCCGCUGAACUUAAGCAUAUCAAUAAUCGGAGGCU